rnacentral:rRNA from 1 species
ACUCCUACGGGAGGCAGCAGUGGGGAAUAUUGCACAAUGGGGGAAACCCUGAUGCAGCCAUGCCGCGUGUGUGAAGAAGGCCUUGGGUUGUAAAGCACUUUCAGUAGGGAGGAAGGUAGUGUAGUUAACACCUGCAUUAUUUGUACGUUACCUACAGAAGAAGCACCGGCUAACUCCGUGCCAGCAGCCGCGGUAAGUACGGAGGGUGCGAGCGUUAAUCGGAAUUACUGGGCGUAAAGCGCAUGCAGGCGGCCUGUUAAGUCAGAUGUGAAAGCCCGGGGCUUAACCUCGGAAUUGCAUUUGAAACUGGCAGGCUAGAGUCUUGUAGAGGGGUUAGAAUUUCAGGUGUAGCGGUGAAAUGCGUAGAGAUCUGAAGGAAUACCAGU